UCUCAUAUAUAUUUCUCCAUCGCUGCUUCUCUGUCUAUUUCAAGUUCCGUUGAUUCUUCUUCUUCGUCGGGGACUAUUGAUUCAGUUACUCCAAGAGAUCUGAUGCAACUGCAGAUUUGAGUGGUGCUAUUGAGGCAGGAAACAAAAAGGACAUUGAGAAGUACAGCAAACGAACUGUGAAGUUAUUAUACCAUCCACUUCAAAGCAAUUGAAUCAAGUACUCUUAUUAGUACAUCUACAAUAUCCCACUCUCCAUGUGACAAAACAACUCAAUGACGAUUGCAGAACAAUCUUCGCUCUGUUGUUGCUGUAACAGACUCGGAGUUGCUCUAUAAUCAGGCAAGUCUCUUUCAUAUUUCUUUGUAUAUUUGUUGUUUAUAUGAAAUGGCUUUGUAGAUGCCUAUAUGUUUUCAGUGGCUUUGUUUGUUCAUUGAGUUCUAAAGGUUGUCGCUUUAAUGGUGUUUGUUGUGUAGGGGAAUGAUUUUACUCUUUUUAGCCUCUCCUUCUAGUUUUCUCUGCUCUAAUAAUCUUCAAAGACUUAAAUUCAUUGUUGA